rnacentral:misc_RNA from 1 species
AGAAAGAAUAUGCUAGAGGCUAAGCUAGAGGUUGAGCUAGAGGUUGUUACACAAAAGGAAUGCAUGUGCGAGAAUGAAAGUAUAAAAAGAGAAUAAUGCAAUGAGAAGGGAGGGUGAAAAUUAUUGUCUUAUUUGUAAUGGCCUACUGCUAGGCUAGUAUUUCCUUAGGAGUACUAGAAACCAUUUUAUGGUUGUUUAUCUUCUGGUUGAAUAGCUUGAUUGCUAUAUUGAAUUUUUUUUUAAUUGAAAGUUAUGCAAAAGACUUUCUUUAUUUGAGAAUCGUUUGUUCUUGUUUCUGUUAAUAUUUAAAUUCCCAACUCCAUAAUGGUACUUGGGAGAUAGUUUCCUUCCCAAAU